UAUUAUACCAAUAAAUAUCAAUGACCUGGGUUAUUAAUAGAUAUAUUCUUUAAAUUUAAAGAAUUUGGCGGUAAUUUAGUCUUGUUAGAGGAACCUGUUUUUGAAUUGAUACUCCACGCAGAAUCUUACUCAUUUUAUUAAAAGUUUAUAUACCGUCAUUAGCAGAUAAUUUUUAAAAAAUUAAUUAUUAAGUUUUAAGAAGUUAAGCUAAAUUAGAUCAAGGUGCAGCCUAUAAAUGAGUUAAAAUGGGUUACAAUAAAAUUUAUUUAAAACGGAGCAACCAUAAGAAUUUAUGUUGUUGAAGGAGGAUUUAAUUGUAAUAUAGGUUUAAUAAGCCAAGAAGAUAUAAGCUCUAAAUUAU
rnacentral:rRNA from 2 species